AGAUUGAACGCUGGCGGCAGGCCUAACACAUGCAAGUCGAGCGGUAGAGAGGUGCUUGCAUCUCUUGAGAGCGGCGGACGGGUGAGUAAUGCCUAGGAAUCUGCCUGGUGGUGGGGGAUAACGUUCGGAAACGGACGCUAAUACCGCAUACGUCCUACGGGAGAAAGCGGGGGACCUUCGGGCCUCGCGCCAUUAGAUGAGCCUAGGUCGGAUUAGCUAGUUGGUGAGGUAAUGGCUCACCAAGGCGACGAUCCGUAACUGGUCUGAGAGGAUGAUCAGUCACACUGGAACUGAGACACGGUCCAGACUCCUACGGGAGGCAGCAGUGGGGAAUAUUGGACAAUGGGCGAAAGCCUGAUCCAGCCACGCCGCGUGUGUGAAGAAGGUCUUCGGAUUGUAAAGCACUUUAAGUGGAGAAGGUUGUAACCUAAUACGUUGCAACUUUGACGUUACCGACAGAAUAAGCACCGGCUAACUUCGUGCCAGCAGCCGCGUAA
rnacentral:rRNA from 1 species